GACCCUAUAGUAUAAUGGUAAUACAUUCUCGCCCGUAUUUACGGGUCGAGAAGUACGGACGUUCGAUUCCUCCUAGGGUCA